rfam:Penicillium brasilianum genome assembly, contig: SCAF6
GGCCGGAUGGUGUAGUUGGUUAUCACGUGUCGUUAACACCGACAAGGUCCUGGGAUCGAACCCCAGUCUGGUCA